AUUCACAAUCCAAUGCAUUUGACUAAUGAUAAGAGUUUG
rnacentral:sRNA from 1 species